UCACCCAGGCUGGAGUGCAGUGGCAGUCACAGCCCACUGCAGCCUCAACCUCCUGGGACUCAAAGGAUCAUCCCACCUCAGCCUGUUGAGUAGCUAGGACUACAGGUGUGAGCCACCAUGCCUAGUCAAUUACAGUUUUUUUUUUUUUUUUUGUAGAUUUGGGGUCUUGGUAUAUUUCCCAGGCUGGUCUCGAACUCCUGGCCUCAGGUGAUCCACUCGCCUCAGCCUUCCAAAGUGCUGGGAUUACACAGGUGAGCCGCCGCUCCCGGCCCAAAUCAGUUGAUUUCUAUGUUGCAUUUCACUCUCUUAAGUUUUUAGGUCAUGGAAAUGUCUGUGUAUUACUCUUAGGCUACUGACAAUUGUGUAGCAAGACACACCAGCAUCUGCUUUGCAAGUGUGUUCCUCGAACACCGUCUCCUCCCGGCCUCUGCUUCUUUGCUCCUGGGUAUUAUUACUUUGACCCCUUCGUUGCACCCUUUUCCCAUGUUUCUGGAGCCAAGAGCAUAUUUACUCUAAUAAUAUGGCAAAAGGCAGCUGUUGGGAGGAGGCUGCGCUGGCUCUAUUUAAACAGUGCAGCUACUUCCCUCUCUGAGGUUCUCAGCCAGCCUCCCUUCAGAGCGGACGUCUCAGGGCUGUGUGUUAUCUCACACUGUUUAUGCGUCUGUGGGUUUUUGAAGGUCGAAUGUAGGUUAACUUUCACGUGGGAUGGGAGAGAUGGAUGGGCGGCUGGAGCUCUGGGUUGUAUAGCGAGCGUGUGUCUAGCUACAGACGUUGUCUGACAGGUUUAACAUUUGCCGUUUGCUGUGGCUUUUUAAAAGUUCUCACUUUUAAAUUUUGGAGUGCUGACAGAGGAUUUGGGGGGUGGAGGAGGGCUCAUUUCAUUGAAACACAUUUGCCUUUAAAAUAAAUCUGGCAUUGCCUUCGGUACUUGCAGUUGGUCAAGAAAGGCCCACGGUGCGUGGCUGAGAGCAGCCGAAUGGAGGGAGCAGACGCUUGCUGGAUGGAGACGCCGCCGCUCGCUGCAUUGCUGAUGUGUGAGGACGCGUGGAUUUCCUUUCCUUGCUUUGCCUGGCGAGGCUGCCCUCGCAUCCCGACGUGUUUAACACAGGACACCAGCUUCUCCACCGGGAGGAAGCCUUGCGUUCUGAGCUCAGCGACGCUGAACUUGUUCCUGUGUAGCAGCUGGAACAAGAACGGGCGGAGCAGCUUCGUUCAAGAUCAGAGACCGGCCAGGUGCCCACCGACGGGAGAAUGGAUGAACACGCCGUGGCGUUUUGUGCAGUGGAAUGUCACUCUGUAGCAGAAAGGGACAAAUGACAGCGUGGGUGAGGCUCAGCAAGGCUGUGCUGAGUGGAAGAAGCCCUGCCCAGACGGGCACCCCCGGUGCAAUUCCGUGUCUGUCACGUCCCAGCACCGGCAGAUCCACCCAGUGGUGGCAAGAGCCCAGACGAACGGUGGUCGCUGUUGUGCAUGGGCAGGACUGAGCAGGAAAUGGCAGGAAGCAGGAAGGGCUUCGGGGAUGUGGUAACAUGUACUUUGAUACGGGUUUGGGUUACACAGGUCUAUGCGUUUGCCCAAACUCAGCAAAUAUUUAAGCAACUGUAAACAAAUGUUGGCCAUGAGCUAGCAAUAUGCACACUAAGAUAUUAAAUAGAGGACGGUGCUGGAGUCUGCAGUCUGCUCUGUCGUUUGUCCAAAAGCCAAGGUGGAUGGAUGGUUGGGUGAGGGAGGAUUGACGGGCGGCUGCCUGACCAGGCAGGGAGAGCCAGUGUCCAUGCGGCCUCCGGGUAGUGAGGACGCGAGCUGCACUGUGAGAUCCUCUCUGCCUUGUUGUGUGUUUGAAA
rnacentral:lncRNA from 1 species